rnacentral:misc_RNA from 1 species
AAAGUCGUAACAAGGUUUCCGUAGGUGAACCUGCGGAAAGGGAUCAUUAAAGAGUUAGGGUCCUAGUGGGCCCCAACCCUCCCAACCCCUCUGUUUGUUAAAAAUCUACCUUGUUGCUUUGGCGGGACCGUUCGGUCUCCGAGCGCGUUAACCUUCGGGUUGGCGAGCGCCCGCCAGAGUGCCAACCAAACUCUUGUAUUGAAACCAGUCCGUUGGACAUAUAAAUUUUAAUUAAAUUAAAA